rnacentral:rRNA from 1 species
UACAGAGGGUGCAAGCGUUGUUCGGAAUUAUUGGGCGUAAAGCGCGUGUAGGCGGCUUUGCAAGUCGGGUGUGAAAUCCCUCAGCUUAACUGAGGAAGUGCGCCCGAAACUGCUUUGCUUGAGUGCCGGAGGAGGAUGGGCGGAAUUCCCCAAGUAGAGGUGAAAUUCGUAGAUAUGGGGAGGAACACCGGUGGCGAAGGCGGCCAUCUGGACGGUAACUGACGCUGAGACGCGAAAGCGUGGGGAGCGAACUGG